UACGUAGGUGGCGAGCGUUGUCCGGAUUUACUGGGCGUAAAGCGCGCGCAGGCGGUUCUGUAAGUCCUGGGUGAAAUCGCCCGGCUCAACUGGGCGGGGGCCUGGGGGACUGCGGGACUGGAGGGGCCUAGAGGCCGGUGGAACUCCCGGUGUAGUGGUGAAAUGCGUAGAUAUCGGGAGGAACACCAGUGGCGAAGGCGGCUUUCUGGUCUGCUCUUGACGCUGAGGCGCGAAAGCUAGGGUAGCAAACGGG
rnacentral:rRNA from 1 species